rnacentral:rRNA from 1 species
CCCUUAGAUGUUCUGGGCUGCACGCGCGCUACACUGAUGCACUCAACGAGUUUACGAGCUUGUCCGAGAGGAUUGGCUAAUCUUUUUAAAAUGCAUCGUGAUGGGGAUAGAUUAUUGCAAUUAUUAAUCUUCAACGAGGAAUUCCUAGUAAGCGCGAGUCAUCAGCUCGUGCUGAUUACGUCCCUGCCCUUUGUACACACCGCCCGUCGCUCCUACCGAUUGAGUGCUCAGGUGAAUAAUUCGGACUGCAGCAGUGUUUGCAUCCCGAACGCUGCAGCGGAAAGUUUAGUGAACCUUNUNACUUAGNGGAAGGAGAANUCGUANCA